GGCAUGGUGGCUUAGUGGCUAGCACUGUUGCCUCAUACCUCUGCGUUUGGGGGUUCGAAUCCCCCCUCUGCCC